GCUAAACGCGAAGAACCUUACCAAGGCUUGACAUACACGAGAACAUCCCAGAAAUGGGGGACGUCUUUGGACACUCGUGAACAGGUGGUGCAUGGUUGUCGUCAGCUCGUGUCGUGAGAUGUUGGGUUAAGUCCCGCAACGAGCGCAACCCUCGUUCUAUGUUGCCAGCACGUAAUGGUGGGAACUCAUGGGAUACUGCCGUGGUCAACACGGAGGAAGGUGGGGAUGACGUCAAAUCAUCAUGCCCCUUAUGUCUUGGGCUUCACGCAUGCUACAAUGGCCGGUACAAAGGGCUGCGAUACCGCGAGGUGGAGCGAAUCCCAAAAAGCCGGUCUCAGUUCGGAUUGGGGUCUGCAACUCGACCCCAUGAAGUCGGAGUCGCUAGUAAUCGCAGAUCAGCAACGCUGCGGUGAAUACGUUCCCGGGUC
rnacentral:rRNA from 1 species